rnacentral:piRNA from 1 species
UGUAUUCAAAUAAAUGAAACC